rnacentral:rRNA from 1 species
CAAUAGCGUAUAUUAAAGUUGUUGCAGUUAAAAAGCUCGUAGUUGGAUUUCUGGUCGGAAGCUCCUGUCCUCUGAUGAGCGUACAAGUGCGUCCUACCAUCCUUCUGUUAACCUUUAAGGCUUUCGCGGCUUUCUAGGGGCUCAGAUAUUUUACCUUGAGAAAAUUAGAGUGUUUCAGGCAGGCUAGCGCCGGAAUACAUUAGCAUGGAAUAAUGGAAUAGGACUUUUGCCUCUUCUGUUGGUCAUGAGGCUCGAGUAAUGAUUAAUAGGGAUAGUUGGGGGCAUUAGUACUUAACUGUCAGAGGUGAAAUUCUCGGAUUUGUUAAAGACUAACAUAUGCGAAAGCAUUUGCCAAGGAUGUUUUCAUUAA